UCCUCAGGGAAGCCGAGGUAGCCAACAGGCGUGGAACUACAAGAGUUUCCAAAGGCCUCUGGAUCCUGUAGUUCUGCCGCCUCCUUAGCCUGCAGAGCACGCUGCUGUCCCGGCUGUCCCCAGGGAGACGGGAUGAAAACACUUCGGGGACACCAGGAAACUGCUCUCGCGUCUCUUUAAGUAGAAACCUAGCGUCGAUUUAGCUCCCACGCACAAGUCUCAUGAUUUUCCCAGAAGUUUUUUUUUUUCCUUUUUUCUUUUUUUAAAGAAAUGUUUUAUCUGCAUAAAACAUCACAAUCACAGAAUCGUGGCCCAAAGGAAAUCCUUUUUAUUUUCUUUCCGGAUUGUGAGGAAAUUUGAAAAUAUUUCCUCCACCCGUCCUUUAAACCUGGAUUCAUUUCCUUGGGAAAGCAAGAAUAGAGAGAGCUUGGAACUCUGCAGUGUCCGGUUUCAGGAAACCAGGUAGCCUCGGAGAGGAGAGAAAGGAACACAGAUUCCUAAGCAGCAUUAGGAAGUCUGAUGCCUGGUGAAGUAAACUCGCUGAGGAAGUGAACUCCACCUGCCUGAGGUCCCAGUGUCCGAGGAAGAAGGGUCCAGGAAGAAAAGUUCCAGGGUACGGAAAAUCGUGAGACUCAGACGUCAUCCUUCACGUGAACCUAGGAUGCUAGAGAUGCGAAGGAUAGUAAAAAAGUCAUCAGCUUGGCUAGGAAGGGUUUUGUUGCUUGUUUUAAUGUGGUACCCACCUAUAGAACACUGUGGCCAAGCCAGGAAAAGGAGUGAAUGCUGAUAGACUCUGCAAGAGAGAAGGACCUAGGAAAACUAGGGCUGGAGAGAUGGCUCGGCAGUUAAGAAGGCUUCCUGCAUUCCCAGAAGACCAAAGAUCAUUUCCCAGCACCCAUGUCAGGCACUAACAGCUGCCGGUAACUCCAUUUCCAGGGCAUCCAGUGACCUCUUCUGGCCUCUGUGAGAACUGCACACGAAUGGCAGCUCCACCAGAGCCUGCAGCCCUGUUCUUCUCCUGUGGGUGGUGCUUCUUCAGCGGAAGCAUCCAUCAGAGGAAGGCUUCUAGAACAGAGGCCCACUGUGAACAGAAGCUUGCUUGGGAAAACUCUUGGACCCUAUCUAAAGCUAGGCUCUUCGGAAAUUUUACUUCUUUUUCUGGAACAAGGAUUGCAGGGCUGGAACUCAGGAGAGGUGGCACUCACCUGGCGCCACCAUGUUGGUGGUACUCCCAGCACUAGGGAGGCAGAGAUAGGAAGAUCACAAGUUCAAGCUCAUCCUCAGUUACACAGCAAGUUCAAGGCCAGCCUGAGCCACAGGAGACCUUUUCUUGAAUACAAAGAUGGAUUUAGGGUACGGCUGAACAGAGGAGUGUGUGCUUGGAAUGGGUACGGAAUGGGCCACCAGCACCACAGAGAACUAAAGGAGAGAAGAAUUACCUCUGCAGAGAACAUUUAACUCAACUUUACAAGGUUCUCCCCGGAAUAUUUGGACAAUGAUUUGAAAUUGUGAUGUUGAAGACAAGUUCAGCAGGACAACGU